GCACUGGUGGUUCAGUGGUAGAAUUCUUGCCUUCCAUGCAGGAGAUCUGCGUUUGAUUCCUGCCAGUGCA
rnacentral:tRNA from 1 species